rnacentral:rRNA from 1 species
CCUACGGGUGGCAGCAGUGGGGAAUAUUGGACAAUGGGCGAAAGCCUGAUCCAGCCAUGCCGCGUGUGUGAAGAAGGCCUUCGGGUUGUAAAGCACUUUCAGUGGGGAAGAAAGCCUUGGGGCUAAUACCCUCGAGGAAGGACAUCACCCACAGAAGAAGCACCGGCUAACUCCGUGCCAGCAGCCGCGGUAAUACGGAGGGUGCGAGCGUUAAUCGGAAUUACUGGGCGUAAAGCGCGCGUAGGCGGUCUGAUAAGCCGGUUGUGAAAGCCCCGGGCUCAACCUGGGAACGGCAUCCGGAACUGUCAGGCUAGAGUGCAGGAGAGGAAGGUAGAAUUCCCGGUGUAGCGGUGAAUGCGUAGAGAUCGGGAGGAAUACCAGUGGCGAAGGCGGCCUUCUGGACUGACACUGACGCUGAGGUGCGAAAGCGUGGGUAGCAAACAGGAUUAGAUACCCGAGUAGUC